rnacentral:rRNA from 1 species
UACGGAGGGUGCAAACGUUGCUCGGAAUUAUUGGGCGUAAAGCGCACGUAGGCGGUCCAGCAAGUCGGGUGUGAAAGCCCUCGGCUUAACCGAGGAAGUGCAUUCGAAACUACUGGACUUGAAUACUGGAGAGGAUCGCGGAAUUCCCGGUGUAGAGGUGAAAUUCGUAGAUAUCUGGAGGAACACCGGUGGCGAAGGCGGCAUCCUGGACCAACACUGACGCUGAGGCGCGAAAGCUAGGGGAGCAAACGGG